UAGUUUUAAUCUCUGUUUUCUAUUUUUAACGAAAAUGUUCACUUGGCUCAUGAAAGACCAUUCCACAGCUACAGCCAAAUGUGCUUGCAGAUCCUACAGACGGUGUAGUUCUUCAUCUAUGGAACUGUGUGGCUCUGUACCACCAUUGUGUCUUUGUAUUGCAGAAUGGUGUGAAUUCAGCCCCUUUUGAGGUGGGUAUUCCAAAGUACGGUGCAUUUGUGCCUACUAAGCGCUAUGGCAGUGAGUACUUCCUGGGUCACCAGCUCAACAACCUUCCAGAGAAUCGUCUGCCUUUUCUGAUAGGUGCUGAAGAAAACCCAGAAGCACUGCACUGACCACAGGAUCCCGUUCCCUCACAUCGAUUUCAGCCGUGUGGAGAAUGAGCCCAUGAAGGAGGUGUAUGUGUUUGAGGACAAGAACAAUCCCAAAGCUCCCAUUGUGGUUCACUUCCCCAUGGUCAACCUCACCUUCAGAAAGUUCAAAGCCCCAGGAGUCAAGCGAGAAGGGGAAGAUGAAUUGAAACAGGGAGAGGUGAACCAAGGACUCGCCAUACCUCACCUCGCUUACCAAACUGGCCUACCAGCCUGAGGACUUCCAGAAGCUGAUGGAUCUUACUUGCUACAACGUCCUGAACAACCGCGACAUCCUGCGGUCAGCUCAACGCAGAGCGCUACAGAGAGAGAGAACCUAUGUGGACGGGAGCAAGGACCACCCCUGCUCCUGAACAGAUCCUCCAAAUUGUGUAUUUUUGAUAGGAAAUAGAAAUUAUACAUACAGGCAUAGAUGAUGAAGUUUAUACAUAGAUGUUUAAUUUAUGUCAAACUGUAUGGCUACACUGGUUGAAACAUAUUCCAUUUGUACAUUUUCCUUGUGACUGGUCACACACAACAACAACAACAAAAACAUCCAAAUUUGUUGACUGCAGUACAUCAGGUAAUCAUUUUCUUAGGGUCUAUUAGUCACUUCAUUGGAUUAAAAUAAUGCAAAUGUAUUAAGAUAAACACCAUGGAAAUAUUAAGCUUAAGUAAUUGUUGUUUAGUCAUUGAUUAAUUUAGCAACUAAUUUCAUUUGGACAAUUUGGAACCAGAAAUAUGUUAAUCCUGUGUGAUGAAAUUAAUAAAGUAUCUUUGUA